CGGUCAGAGAGGUGGCAGGUGGCCGGGUUAGAUCCCAGGGGAAUCCAACGCCAGGAUGAGACAUUCCAAUUUGAGCAGCUGAACUUGGCUAUGGGACAGCGAGCCUAGGGAUUUGGGGACCUGCCCAGGCAAGCCCAGCCUCCAGGGUCCUGAGAUGACCCCCUGUGAACUCACAUGGCCCGGCUGCAGAAGUUCACUAGCAACUGCCGGUCAGUCCCCUGACCUGCCUGGCACUUAGUAGGGGCUCUUCAGAUAUCUGUCCCAUGAAUGAGCCAGGGAGGAAAUGGAGAUGCCCUGCCCACUCACCUCCUGCCAGUGGCCGCCCUUGCUAAACACAAACUAGGCCACGGGCCUGACCCAGUUUCGCGGCGCCGCGCGCCAAGCCCGGGGAGGAGCCCGAUGCGCGGGGAGCGGGACAGCCGCGUGACUCGGACGGCCGCCGCCGCCGCCCCGCGCCCGGGAUCCGCAGUCGCACCGGAUCCGAGGCCGUUUCUGACAUUUGCCUGCGCCGUGACUCAUCUCCGCGCGGAGAAGAAAGGGGCCUUUGUGGGCUCCCCGCGCGGGCCUUGGCCGGCCGUGUCCUGGGCAGCACUGCCCCCCGGUGGCCGGGAGCGCGGUGUAGGGCGCGGGAGGCGGCCCUGGGGGCGCGUGCCCGACCCCACCCCCGGUGCUGGCCCGCGUCCUGGGGCCCGAGUCCGUCCGGGGAAAGCGGGAAGAGCACUAUCUCCCCGAGGCCCGGGUCUUCUGAGGGAAGCCUCCACAAGGGAGGGAAUGGUUUCUCCCGCCCCUGGAAACGGUGAGCUCGGGCACCCCGGAUGCCGGCUCCCUGGAGGCCUGGCCCAGAUUGGGGGAAGGCCACGGGACAUUGCCCCCCGCACCCGCACCUCCGGAAACAGGGAACGCCUUCUCUGCCGAAAGCCUGGGCUCUGUUCCUCUUCCCCGGGCUGCACAACCACGUGACUGCCGCAUUUUAAAAAUAGAUGCAAACAGCUACCCUUCCCCUUUUGUAGUGGAUGCUGCCAUGCCUGUUUGCCCUGGGCCACCUGGAGUCAACUGCUGAUGAUGACAGUACAUUAUGAAGGUGACUUCUCGCAUCUCUGCCUUGGGAUAUUCCUUGGAUGCAAAGCCCACACCUGGCGGGGGCGGGGGGUGCAGCUCCAAAGUGCCAAGGAUGUGCCGAUACCACAGGUGAGACCUUCAACCAAGGAGGGCUGUUCUCACUCCUCUGCUAAAUCCCAACGUGUGUGUGCCGUCUGUCCCUGGAGGGGAUGAACCCCAGAACUCACUCUGCUUAUUACCAUCGACAUCAAUGGCUCCCCUCCCUUCCCUGUCUCACUUCCCUCCCUCACGGAGGGUUGGAUUUCUGACUCCUCCCUUCCUUUUCUUGCUGUUUUAAUCUUGGUGAAUUAUUUAAACCCUGUGCGUUAGAGACCUCGCUUAUAACCUGCUGAUCAUAGCACCUGCCGCUGUUAGGACAGAGUGAGCUGAUGCACGUGAGUGUUUAGAACAGUGUCUGGCACGUAGUAGGUGCUCAGAAAUGUCAAUCAUGUUUCAUAAAUAGCAGGGGCACUGGCCAUGGGAAGCAGAACACAUAUGGGUCCAGUUUCCUCCAGUUUCCUCAUGUGAACUACAGGUUAAAAAUGCCCCUUUGAGGGGCGCCUGGAUAGCACAGUUGGUCAAGCAAGCGCCCGACUCGGGUUCGGCUCAUGUCAUGAUCUCGGGGUCCUGGGAUCAAGCCCCGAAUCAGGCUCCGUGCUCAGCGCAGAGUCUGUUUGAGAUUCUCUCUCAUCAUCUCAUUUGAAGAUUCUCUCUUCAUCCAGUGGCUGUGACCUCCACCAAGCAAGAGGGGCCAGUAUUGGGGUGCAGGUAAGACCACUUCAGAGUCCUGGGCCAUUUCCUCCUUUCUCUCUGGAGAAUGGUGUGACCUCAGGUAAGCUGUGUCCCUUGGGCCUCAGGCUCCGCAUCCUUGGAAAGAAGUGACCGGGCUUAGGGGAUCACUAAAUGUCCUACCAGCUCCAGAGUUCUAGGGAGAGGCCCUGUCCUGGGACGGACACACACACACACACACCCCAACACUCACUCGCAUACGUGCAUACGUACACACACAAAAUACACACCCAGACAUACACACAUACCAGGGAGGAAGUAACUGUGCUUAUCUGCUCUGGCCGCUUGAGUCACCUCUGGGAGCCCCAGGCUCCUGGCUCUGUUGGCCUUGAACCUCACCCCAGAGAAGAAGAAUGUGUCUGCAAAACAUUUCCAGGCAUUUUCAUGUGUGAGUGCUGUUUUCUUCUUAGGCUUCUCUCCUUUUGUCACUUGCAGAUGUCUGUGGCUGUCUUGCCAGGUCUUGGGAUCAAGCCACGUGGCCCACUUGAGGGCUGGUGAGGAGGGGUGCAUGGGCAGCCUUAUAAAACCAGCCUGGACCAUCCUUUCCAGCACCUACCAGAGUCUAACCGAUCCCAAGGAAGAAGCAAACAGCCCCAUGACGUUUUACAGAGGUCAGAGAAUGUGGCUCCAGACUCCAGAAGAAGCUAAGGCUGGAUGUCACCACAGAGCAGCUGGGGCCUGAGGACGCCGCCACACGGUAUAUGGAACCUCCCAGGAAAGGCCAGGAGGGACAGACGGUGCAUGUGCAGCCCCUCCUCUGGAUUCAGGCCUUCCAUCCACUGAGGCCUGGGAUCUUCUCCCUGUUUCCAGACACCUCCAAAACGCAAGAAAUAGAACUUUCUUUGUGUUUUGUAACGGUGCUUCAUUUUUGACUUCUAGUCCCUUUUCGCAUCAGGUUGGUGGGAAAAUAUAUAUAACCUCUUGCUGGAGUUAUGUCGUAGUUCUGAGGUCUUGAUGCAAUGCUGUGGGGUAUUAGCGUGGCGUUGUGGUCCUCAUUCAACUGUCCCCAAGUCACGUCUGAGGCUGUCCUUGCAUGGGCCACAGGGACCCCAUAGGUCCGAUGUUUCCCUGUUUGUCAUGGUCACCGUCCCGGCUUAGAUGCAUCCCCAACCCAUUCGGCCUAGGCUUCUGCUACCCCCCCCCUUAGAGCUCCUCUGGGGCCCACAG